ACUCAUUGUCCUCCUCAUCAUCACGUUAGAUCAGGCUGCAUGGGCCCUACAGUAGUUGUCUCUCUGUCUCUCUCCCGCUCUCUCUCUCUCUGCAUUUCAAACAGUGGGCAACAGCUCUGCUUGUCCCCUGAAGAGUUGCAGGCCCCUUUCAUUACAUCUGAUUUCUCUGGGCAGAAUUCGCCCACAACUUUGGGUCGACCCUGUGCUCUGUCUCUCAUUGGAACUCUAAUGAGGGUGGUUUACUGUAGCUCACUGUGGUGAAACUUGGGUUGCUGCUGACAGGGAUUCAUUGUGCAGCAGGCCUGCCUGGUAACCUCCUCUCACAGCCCAUUUACUGAACCACUGAUAAACAGCAGCUGGAAACUACUGGCUUUCUCUUUGGCUUCUCUGAGAUUUAACAUACAUUUGAAUAUGUAUUUUGAUGCUCUUAGAAUGUCUAUGAUCAUUAGGUACAUUAACCUAUUCACAUUAUACAGCUGGAAACAACUAUUGUCAUGAGAGAGAGCACUUUACUGGCACUGAAGGAUUGGAUGGUAAGAGCACUCGUUAUGCCCUCCCCCCUUCUCUCUCUCUCCCUCCAGCCUCUGGCCAUGUUAAAUAUAAUGACUCCUCUUGAGUCUUCACCACACAUAAUGUAUGGGCAACUUCACAGUGCAAACACACUGUACUGACAGUAAUUAGGCUUACAAAUCAUCCAAUUAGUCCUACUUCCUACUCACAGUCCUCGAGUCAUUUCACUUUCUAUAGGAGGGAUACAUUGGUUGUGAUGGCAGCGGGAAAGCACCAUGUCUCAGUGGAAUUCCCCUUUAAUGAAUCACACGGUUACCCAGCUGAAAUUAUGUUUCUGUAGAUGUCAGACUAAUGUCUUCCCAUGUUGAUGUCCUUCUGAAUGCUAUAGUUUGGUAGUGUUUUACUGGGCCAGAGGUGAGCCUGUGGAGCUCUGUUCUAAAAAAAAAACUAUAUUUACUUGUCUAAUAUAGGUCAGCGUCUAGUGAUGAGACUUUGGUGUGGAGUGUGUGCGUGUGUGUGUGUGUGCGUGCGUGCGCAAGCGUGUGUGUCCCUGAUCCAGGAAGAGGGCUGAUUGUUGAGAAGCCCCAUUCACAUGCUGGUCCUCUCUAAGAGUCUGGCAAAGGUGAGGGGCCACUGGUGGAGAGGGAGUGAAAGAAACUUUGAAAGAAGGAUUGCCACACCAUGUGUGAAGGCUUGGGCACAGAGAGAAAGACCUGCCUGUCUCCCUCUUGAAUCAUUAUGUCCAGUCAUUCUGCAGGCACCCCCCAAGAAAUGAACAUGGAAAUUACCGUAACAAAGCAGGAUGAAUAGAUGUUGUACUGCUCUUAAGCCAGCAAUAUAUUUGCUGAGAAGUCUCAUAUUUAUUUUGGUUUAAUUUGGAUGGAGAGCUGUUUUGCCCUCUGGGACGGGCUGUGGUUUACACAACCAGGAUUAUAAAAUCAUAUUUCCCAAAUUUUUAAGACAGGAUAAAUAAAUGUGUUGGCAAUGCUGAUCAUGCUUUUCUAACGGACUCAAUAGAACAGAAACAAAAGCCAAUUACUGUUUUUUUAAAUGAAUUGAGAGGCAUUGGAACAUAGACAGGGUGAUGUCUGAUGGCAGUUCUAAUCUACAGAUGGCUGUAGUGCUUAGAAGUAGGAAUCAGUCAUAAUUAAAAGAUGUAUCAUGUUAUUCCACGCCUCGCAAUCUAAUCUUCACUGGUUAUUUACAUGUAGCUGUUGACUUGGGAGGGGGAUUACUUUUGUACUGAUUACUUUGGCACUGGGCAAAGGAGGCCUGUUCUUGUCAAUGUCAAAUGCAAUCGCUUUACCAUCUUAUAGAAAUCCUGCAAUUCUAUUAGGCAUAUUGUAAAUCCACUUUAUUUGUCCUCUCCAUCCAUUUGAAAUGGCCUAAAACACGAUGAAAAAGUCUCACAAUUUUACUCGUAUUAUCAUGUCAGCUGCCUUUGAAAGGACAUUAACACAGCAUUGCUUCAUUAUCUGUAAAAUAGGCCUAGCUCCUGUUUGCCAUUGUUGAUAUUUAGCAUUCUGGAUCUCUUUGUCGCAUUCUGAGAAAAUCCUCAUGUCAGUGAAGGGUCUCAGCUGCUCUCUAAGCCACAUUCAUUAGAAUGAUGAUGUUUGUUGUCAGCCUGACUAUUGGUUGUCAUUCCACCAGGUUCCUGUUGUUGCCAUGGAAGGUGACUUUCCAGUCUACUUUGAUUUAAGUUAGAGACUCAUUAACCCCCAGUUGAUGUCGUAUUUCACCAGCUGGCCACCUCCCCUUGUACUGUCACGUUCCUUGAUUAGCGUGUGGACACCAUAUGCCUAACACAGUUCACAGUCUGUUUCAUACACCUGUUCCACAUUUCUCAAUCUUACCCUGAUCAUAGCACAAAGUAUUCCGUGCCAUCAUGAAAGAGGCUUGGUGGAGAAAAUUGCUUUUUCGAUCUCACAGCCAUCUUUGAUUGAAAUUACCUCUAACUUUGACAAUUACAGUAUUUCAAUAUCCGCACAUUACUGUAAUAGCUUGAGCAUUCGCACUGUAUUAUUAUUAUUAUUCUAGUCUAUGUUAUGUAAUAGGGCUGGGAAUUGCCAGUGAUCUCACGAUACGAUUUCAUCACGAUACUUAGCCUAGGUGCCGAUACGAUGUGUAUUGUGAUUCUCUAUAUUCUAUAUGUAUGGUGAUUCGAUACUGCAAUUUUAUUGAUAUAUAUUGGGAUUCAAUGCUGCGAUUUCUAUUGCGAUUCAAUGUUCCAUACAUACUGCCCUGUCUGCUGCAGAGGGACAAGAUUAUUAUUCAUAUUUCCAUAUAAAAAUGUAAUAAAAAAUACAUAUUAUUUUCCCACCAUCACCAUUAUGUAAUGAAACCAGAAAUAUUCUAUCAUAUCUCCAUCAGCAUAUGCACACUUGAAUGUACACACACACAUAUCACAGUUUAGCACAGCCUAACUGCAGCUGGUCAGAAUGGAUGUCUUACCAGUUGAACAGCCCUAGAGAGCGACUCCUCUGUGGAAAUGGUCCAAUCAGGUAACUUAACAGUCAUACUGAUCCUUCCUCUUUGUCAAGAUUCCUCACUGUUCAGGUUCCCAGCAUGGCGUCUGUAUGUCCCCAGCCUGCAGCCUCUGAUGGACUGAGGGACCUGUUCCAUUGUAGCUGUGCUGAAGUCAGACAGUCAGGCAUACAACCUAAUUGGAAACUUAAUCACGUCUGCUGAUGGCUGCUGGUGGUGGGAACUGAAGUCCCAUAGGAGGAGAAAGUCUGGAAAUAUCAUUGGGCAUAUGAAGAUUGGCGGGACUGGUCCAGGUUGGCUUUCUUUGCCACUGUUCUGUGAGUGCUACGUGCACUACAUACCAGGCUGCCUGUGCCAGCAGCCGCUGAGAGGGAGCCAUCCGCCGUCACGCUGUGAGGAGAUAUGACCUAAAGAAAAUGUGUCAUUUGGUUUCUCCAUACUCAGAAAACGUGGGCUAGAAUGAAACAUGAAGUCAAAACAUAUUACAAAUGGAGAAAUCUGGACAGAAUAAAAAUCUGCAUGGGGAGACGGGAACAUAAUGUGUGGCUGGUAGAUUGGUCGGGAAAUGAAAUGCCUUGACGUAUUGUGAAGCCACUGUUCCCAUAAUGGGAGAGCUACAGAGGGGGAGAAAUGAACUGUACUGGACAGUGAAGGGCAUUUUCAAGAAGCCACAUGGGUAAAGAGAAAAUGGCACAGACAGAGCUACCAUCUUCAUUCACUCUGCAGAACAAUGACCUUUCUGUGUUCCAUGACUGUGAAUGUCUUUCAUGACACAAAGAAACAAAUCCUGUAGAAAUAGUCCAAAUAUCAUUGAUACCAGACCAAAUAGAUAUGGUGGAGCUCACAGAGUAGCUAACAAGCUUACACAGCAGCUGUCUGUGCAUCCCACACUAUAUAGUUUAAUGGUAUUGAUACCAACACCAAGGCAUGUUUGUAAAUAUAAUAUUCAGGGUUUAUCAGUACUGUUUAAUCCAUAACAAGGACUUGUGCUAACCACUCUCACAGAGCAGAAGCAGAACUAGUCUGGUGAUUGUCUGACUACACCUGUGGGGAUUUGACCCCUUUGAGAAAGCGACUUUACAUUGAUUAUACCGCUGUGAAGAUCAUCGCAGUCGCACAGAUCGUAAACCACUCAAACCAUCUACAUAUCCAAAAGCCAGAGCGAGACUUUCUUUUCUCUGCCUCAAGCCUCUUUUGAUUUCCCCAGCCUUUGUCUGUGUGAGAUGAUAGGAGGGUUUUCUCUCUCUCUCUCUCUCUCUCUCUCUCUAAAGAGCUCUGCAUCAGCAGUAAUCCCUAUGUGCCUGUAUGUGUUCAGACCUCCACAGAUUUUGGUCCAGGCUGCUGUGUCUUGCUAUGGCUUGCUGUUGUGCUGGGCUGGACACACUGUGCUGGGCUGUGUCUCUGUCCACUGGCAUGGGUAUUUGGUGCAUUCAGAGCCUGCUUUGCAGCCACCGAUUUGGCCCUGUCUGUGUCUUGCUAUGGCUUGCUGUUGUGCUGGGCUGUGUCUCUUGUCCACUGGCAUGGGGAUUUGGUGCAUUCAGAGCCUGCUUGGCAGCCACCAAUUUGGCCCUGUCGGUGUCUUGCUAACCGAAUGUCAAUUGCUCCCUCGUCCAUUGCAUACAUUUGACAGCCAUCCACUUGACUGGCUACAGCGUAACUGUGUGAUGUUUCCUGCGGGCUCGGCUUCCCGACUGAAACGCCAAGCCCUUUGUUUAUGUAGGGGUGACAGCCAAACACAUUAAACAUGUUUGUGAAGAAUACUGAGGAUUCAAGGACUUGUCUUGCAUUUGCUAUUUUGUAUGCAUGAAUUUUGUAUUAGUUUGUUGUAUAAGCAUAGACAUUGUUGGGGAUAUACAAUGGGUAGGCUAUGGUAUAUUUUGAUAACCUAGAAUUAGGUAUUUUACUAAUAUUCUACCAAAAAUGACAUAUUUGCCCCAAGUACUUAAAUCAAUCGUUUUUUUAUUAUCAAAUAAACAUAGUGAAUUAAUUCUAACCUCUCGUGCGCUUCCUCUUUUAAUAUGCACUUCUUUAAAAAUCUAUCUUAAAGAACAUCUUAACUGCAUUCAGUGCUGAUGCUGGUGUUACCACGGCAACCCUAAAUCCAUAAACUCCCCUGCACAGUUUUCUCCUGGCAGAGUGGUGCCAUUUUCCCUUCUCCCCUCCUCUCCAAGGCAUUCACGAUGCAACAUUUCUACUGUUUCUUUAAUAGGCAGCAGCACGUGACGGGGUGUUUGCCUCUUUCGUAACCACUGCUUUCACAAAUGCAUAUUCUUCCUGUCAGAAGGACUUAAAUCUAAUCAAAGACAACCUGUCGUUGGAAAGUUUCUACUGUGAAAAACACGUUUUAUU